AGCGAACGCUGGCGGCAGGCCUAACACAUGCAAGUCGAACGGAUCCUUCGGGAUUAGUGGCGGACGGGUGAGUAACACGUGGGAACGUGCCCUUUGGUUCGGAACAACUCAGGGAAACUUGAGCUAAUACCGGAUGUGCCCUUCGGGGGAAAGAUUUAUCGCCAUUGGAGCGGCCCGCGUCUGAUUAGCUAGUUGGGGGGGUAAAGGCCCACCAAGGCGACGAUCAGUAGCUGGUCUGAGAGGAUGAUCAGCGACAUUGGGACUGAGACACGGCCCAAACUCCUACGGGAGGCAGCAGUGGGGAAUCUUGCGCAAUGGGCGAAAGCCUGACGCAGCCAUGCCGCGUGAAUGAUGAAGGUCUUAGGAUUGUAAAAUUCUUUCGCCGGGGACGAUAAUGACGGUACCCGGUGAAGAAGCCCCGGCUAACUUCGUGCCAGCCGCCGCAGUAA
rnacentral:rRNA from 1 species